rnacentral:lncRNA from 1 species
UUCUUUCUCAUUUGGAAAACCCUAAAUCUUUUGCUUCAAACACCGAUUUACCUCCAUAAACAGCAACCAGUGUAUUCAAGCUUGGAAGAAUGGUUUCUCAGCCUUGAGAUCCCCUUUCAAAUUCGAUUUCAAUGAAGCAAAAGGAAAUUCGUGGCAUACUCGCAAGGUAAGACCUCAUUUUUCGUUUUUUGGAUGCAAUAAUAAAAAGUGACAGGAAUAAGCCGAAAGAAAAUUCAAAAGUAUAAAGAAACUCGAAUUGGAAAUCACCUUUUCAAUUUUUUAUUGCUUUUUUCAAUAUGCGUGUGUGUUUCUGGGAAAGAAAUCCCCCUUUACAUCGUUUUCCUUCGGUUUUUAUAGCCGAAAAAUAAAUAAAAAUAAAUAAAAAUAGAUUUCCUUGCUGUAAUCUGUUAUCCUUUGCUGUCAAUUACUGUUUGUUAUUUUCUGUUAUUUUCUUCUCGCAGGUUCGAUUGUACGGAGGAGAACACUCGUGGGGAUGACGUGGAUGAGGCUCAGAAGCUCUGCGGAAGUUGCUGGUGUCUGUUGCAAGCCAAGAGUUGAUUCAAUUGCAGCAUUCGAUACCUAUUCUUUAUUUCUAUAUUGAUUUUCUUCCCCACUUGCCUUAGUAGCCUUUCCUCCCCUUCCCCAGCGCGGAUUUCACUUACUUGCCUUAGGGCAAUCGGAAUUCCGUGAGGAGCUAGGGUUUAGGUUUUGGGCCUUUUGGGCUUGGUUUAUUUUAUUCGGGUAUUGGGCCAUUGUUAGGUCUAUUUUGGGUGUAAUGGGGUUUUGUUGGGUCAUAUAACUUUGGGCUGGUUGUAAUUGGACUAUGGACACUUAUUAUUUUUAUUUUUGUUAUUUUGUUUUUUUUAAUUUUAUUUUUGGUAUGGGC